AUUGAACGCUGGCGGCAGGCCUAACACAUGCAAGUCGAGCGGGGUUUUCGGACCUAGCGGCGGACGGGUGAGUAAUGCGUAGGAAGCUGCCCGAUAGAGGGGGAUACCAGUUGGAAACGACUGUUAAUACCGCAUAAUGUCUACGGACCAAAGUGUGGGACCUUCGGGCCACAUGCUAUCGGAUGCGCCUACGUGGGAUUAGCUAGUUGGUGAGGUAAUGGCUCACCAAGGCGACGAUCUCUAGCUGGUUUGAGAGGAUGUUCAGCCACCCUGGAACUGAGACACGGUCCAGACUCCUACGGGAGGCAGCCGUGGGGAAUAUUGGACAAUGGGCGCAAGCCUGAUCCAGCCAUGCCGCGUGUGUGAAGAAGGCCUUCGGGUUGUAAAGCACUUUCAGCGAGGAGGAAGGGUGGUGUGUUAAUAGCACAUCAUUUUGACGUUACUCGCAGAAGAAGCACCGGCUAACUCUGUGCCAGCCGCCGCCGUAACAC
rnacentral:rRNA from 1 species